rnacentral:lncRNA from 1 species
ACGGGGUCUGGGUGAGGUGGGGGUGGGCGACGCCAAUUGGCGCGCGGGAUCUCUCCGCCGCGGCUCACAGCGACCGCUGGGUUUGACCCCGGGGCGGCAUUGAGAUCGGAGGGGGGGCGAACUGGUGACUUGGGUGAUGAAUUCGCUGGGCUCGAUUGGAGAGGGGAGCGAGGAGAGGGGAGGGGAAAACCCGGUGUGGUUAGUUUGGUUUACCGGUGAAGCCGUGACCGGAAAUACGACGAGGGCCCAGAGCACGGCAUCCAACGGCUGAGAUUGAGGCUGUCAGAUCCGAUGGUUCACUGUCAGCCAGUGGAUGUUGUUUCUGCACUUGGGUUCAGCCUCGGCCAUUGGAUCGGGGAAUUUGAUUAUUUGCCACCACUUUCUUUGCUCUUUGAUAAUUUGCCAUCCCUUACCUUGUAAUUGAUCUAAUGACACCAGUUACAUGAAACUUUGUUAUUUUGCCCUCUGUCGACUGGGUCCCACAAGAAAAGUCGAAAAUACCCCUCUCCCAGGAUUGACCACGAACGAACUGGAGAUCUCGUUAUGGUUCGCUCGCCCUUGUUCCCUUUCUCUCGCCCGCAAGACGGUGGCAACGGCGACUUACGCGGGGUGGCUCAACGACGGCGGACCUGGUGGUCCUCAACGGCGGCUGGAUCCCGGCUAGGAAGGUGAGGCCCUCUCUCCCGCCCCCUCUGUCCCGUCCCUAGGGUUAGGCGAGUCGGGCUCGGUCUCGGCCGCCGCCCGCCGCUAGCGUUGCUUUUGCUGCUGCUCCCAAUUCUGAACCGUUGAUGCUGCCCAAGUUGUUGUUGCUUGUGCACCGCUGCCAUGCUGCGUGGUGAUGCUUGCUGCUGUUGCUUUUUUACUGCUAUUCUAGUGUUGCUUGCUGCUAGAGAUUUUAUUGUGGUUCGAUUGAUGGUUGAUGAUAGACCACAAAUUUAAGAUGAACUAGGUAAUAAUGGCUGAACCGGAGAUGGGUGACGGGUUUUUGGCAUUAUGGGGCUGAUUUUGCUCACGGGUUCUCCAAGCCCCCUCCUCCCCAAGAUCCACCGGCUCUUCUACCUGUGCAUUGUGGGGCUGAUUUUGCUUGUCGAUUGCUUGCAAGUGCGCCGCCGAUUCCCUGCGCAUUGAUCUGUCAUUACUUGUGUUAACCUGCACAUCAGAGACAACUUACAGUUAGUCGAAGUAUACUAGGGAAAAUUGAGAGUAUGUAAAUUCUAUUCUGCAUAGUUCAGUUAGCAUGAUGUCAUGUUAUCCUACAUGCCAUUGGAACCACAUUAGAUUCAGGCAAAAUGUACUAGCGAAUUUUCUGAAUCUCUUAAUUUCUAGAUGCUACAGUACUAGUUCAGUAUGGUGGUUAACAUGCAUUUAACCAGUCACCAUGUUAGAUGUUUGGUUUACUUUUCUGGAAGUCAAGAAUUAGAUGCCUGAAGCUUAUAUAUGUCUCAUCUUGUUCUAUAGAAAUAUCUAAACUAUCAUGAUGAUGGCUCCUUUUCCUGUCCUUGAACAAGCUACAACAAGUGCAGCAGAACGGGUAGACUGAAAUUUGUGGCAUUCCUUUCUUGUAUUGUUGCUCAGUUGACCUAGGCCGUGAAACUAAACGUGGCAUCCUAUUCUUAACGUAAUUUCCAAAUUUGAAUCCAAGAACAAGUAAAUGAUUACAUCAAACAUGACUUACAGGUUACUUGCAUUCUCCAUUUUCAGCACCUGCGCACGCGUCCAUCUCCUCACAGCCACCAAAAGGGCCUCGAGUCGAUGCCGCCAUGACUUCACUGCUGAUGUUGUUCAUUACCGCCCUCGCUACUGCAUGUUCACUGGUGUUAGGGACAGGAAGUCGCCGGCGCACCUCUCUAGCAUGCCGCGAGCUCCGCCAGCACGCAGGUGAGGCCGAGCUGCGGUUGCUUGCGCAGGGCCUGGGCGGCGAGCUGCGGCGGCUCACGCAGGCAUCAGCGAGCCGAGGACGAGCUGUCCCCGCUCGUGCAGACUUGGACGAGCACCGGCGGCGAGUUACGAGAGCGCAGGCAUAAGCGAGGCGACGGCGAGCUCCGCCGGUGCAAGCAAGCAUGGGCUAGCAACGGCGGGCGGCGGCGAGCUGCGGUUGCUGGCGCAGGCGUGGGGGAGCUACUAUUGCCUUAUGGUGGAUGAGAUAUGGAGAUAUGAUGUAUGGACAUGUUAAAUGCUUUAUUUUGCUAUGUCCUCUUCAUAUUGUGUCAUGGUAUAUGAAUAUAUGCAUAUGGAAAUAUAUGUUUGAAUUUGGAUAUUAUGUGCACAAAAUUGUUGAAAAGCCAAACAACAGCCAAAAUGCUGUCCAAAUUGAG